UACUUCUCUAUCCUAUUAGGCUAUAUUGAACUUUGAGGAGCAGGAGCAACAUAGUAAGUCUCCUCGUCCAUUUGACCCUUCAGUUUUGGAGAGUUACCUAUUGAAGACACUGCCUUCUUUCAAGCAACUGGAUGACUACAAAUCAAUAAUGGUACCCAUGCUACGAUCUGGACAUUGGACAUUGUAUGUUGUUAAUCUUCAGAUUGGACGCAUACAUGUGUUAGAUUCCAACCCUUAUGGACCAGAGAUGGGUGGGACUAUCUGGAAAAAUUACCAUUGUAUACCUAUGGAUUUGGGUGAUAGGAAGGUUUCAUGGGCCAGGUUAAUGAUGAGUAGGCUCAAUCUAGCUAUUCAAAAUGCUCGACCAAGAUCAGCUCUCCCUGCUUUUUUGAAGUACCCUAUUGAACUCAUGAAUAACUGCCCAACAAUGAAAUUGGGGUCUAAUGAUUGUGGAUUCUUUGUCAUGAGAUAUAUGCAGAACUACGACUACAUGGUUGGAGCUAUGAAUGCAGUCAUUGAUCCGGAUAAUUCAGAGGACAUUCGCUCUCUUGUACUGCAUUACCUAAUAUUCCAUCGACUAAAUAGAAACAGCUUCGUGGUCUCCCAUCUGGAUAGAUUUAAGUUCUCUCAGUAGUAGCCUAGUAUAGUUUACUAUCUUAAUAUUAGUAUGAACAUCAUGGUCUGAUGGCUUUUGGUGGCUUCAAGUUAUCUCAGUUCUAGCUUAGUUUAGGGUAGUGUCACUGAAUGGUGUUCAUGUAAAUAUUGGUCUGUUGGCUUAUGUUAGGAUUUAGAUAAUACUUAUGUCCAUAUGCAGCUCUUAGCAAACUCUUAUAUAUAUCGUACCAGAUAUGUUUUAGAUGGUUAUAUUUAUAUAUGAUAGUUC